GGUGUGACGACAUGUGCAUCGAACUUCAGGGGGUGUUCGAACUCCAUUGCAAUGAAGAAGUAGAAGGCCAGAGGAUUGAAUCCCCGGAGUGACAUACCUGAGGGGUGAGGCAUCCCACGAUGCCCAAGGCUCCUUCCUCAGAGGAGCACGACUAGAUCCUGAAGAAAAGUCGGUCGCAGGUUGGUCAAGGACAGCCUCAGUUCGAUCGCACUUCAGAGUUGGGAUC
rnacentral:lncRNA from 1 species